rnacentral:rRNA from 1 species
GAUGAACGCUAGCUACAGGCUUAACACAUGCAAGUCCGAGGGGCAUCAGGAAGAAAGCUCGCUUUUCUUCGCCGGCGACCGGCGCACGGGUGAGUCAACACGUCAUCCAACCCGCCCCUUACUCGGGGAAUAGCCUUUUCGAAAGAAAGAUUAAUACCCCGAUCGGGAUAAUCAUUUCCGCACGGUUUCGAUUAUUAAAGGAAUUCCGGUAAAGGAAGGGGACGCGCUCCAUUAAGUUCGUUGGUGAGGUAACGGCUCACCAAGCCUUCGAUGGAUAGGGGUUUCUGAGAGGAAGGUCCCCCACAUUGGAACUGAGACACGGUCCAAACUCCUACGGGAGGCAGCAGUGAGGAAUAUUGGUCAAUGGGCGCGAGCCUGAACCAGCCAAGUAGCGUGAAGGAAGACUGCCCUAUGGGUUGUAAACUUCUUUUAUAUUAGAAUAAAGUGCAGUAUGUAUACUGUUUUGUAUGUAUAAUAUGAAUAAGGAUCGGCUAACUCCGUGCCAGCAGCCGCGGUAAUACGGAGGAUUCCGAGCGUUAUCCGGAUUUAUUGGGUUUAAAGGGAGCGUAGGUGGACUGGUAAGUCAGUUGUGAAAGUUUGCGGCUCAACCGUAAAAUUGCAGUUGAUACUGUCAGUCUUGAGUACAGUAGAGGUGGGCGGAAUUCGUGGUGUAGCGGUGAAAUGCUUAGAUAUCACGAAGAACUCCGAUUGCGAAGGCAGCUCACUGGACUGCAACUGACACUGAUGCUCGAAAGUGUGGGUAUCAAACAGGAUUAGAUACCCUGGUAGUCCACACAGUAAACGAUGAAUACUCGCUGUUUGCGAUAUACAGUAAGCGGCCAAGCGAAAGCAUUAAGUAUUCCACCUGGGGAGUACGCCGGCAACGGUGAAACUCAAAGGAAUUGACGGGGGCCCGCACAAGCGGAGGAACAUGUGGUUUAAUUCGAUGAUACGCGAGGAACCUUACCCGGGCUUAAAUUGCAGUGGAAUGAUGUGGAAACAUGUCAGUGAGCAAUCACCGCUGUGAAGGUGCUGCAUGGUUGUCGUCAGCUCGUGCCGUGAGGUGUCGGCUUAAGUGCCAUAACGAGCGCAACCCUUAUCUUCAGUUACUAACAGGUCAUGCUGAGGACUCUGGAGAGACUGCCGUCGUAAGAUGUGAGGAAGGUGGGGAUGACGUCAAAUCAGCACGGCCCUUACGUCCGGGGCUACACACGUGUUACAAUGGGGGGUACAGAAGGCAGCUACCUGGUGACAGGAUGCUAAUCCCAAAAGCCUCUCUCAGUUCGGAUCGAAGUCUGCAACCCGACUUCGUGAAGCUGGAUUCGCUAGUAAUCGCGCAUCAGCCACGGCGCGGUGAAAUACGUUCCCGGGCCU